UCAGGCUCAGUACUACACUAUAAUACUGCUACAGUAACACUUCUUUAAAGGCUGACACUCGGAAAGCACUGUAACUGCAAUUUUACACUUUUUGAAAACCCAGUAAUGGCGUUACAAGAUGGCAGUGAAGUGGAUUAAACUUUUCAUUCAGUGUUUCGUGCUGUCAACUGCUAAAUGUGAUUCCCACUCCCUUCAGUUCUUGUCCACAGGACGUGAACAGCCUGGAGGUCGACCUUUAUUUGAGCAACUGACUGUAUUUGACGGAGUUCCCAUCUCUCACUGUGACGGUUGGACGAAGAAAGCGGAGUUCAAACCUGCCCUGGAAUCAAGCAAUUUACCUGUAAAAUGUGAUGAAGCAAGUUAUGCUAUUUUAGAAUUUCUUCAUCAGAUUCCUCCACUUAACAGCACAGUGUACGUGCAGCGGCGCCGUGGCUGCAUCCUGUCAGCCAAUGGGAGUGUCUCUGCUUUUGAUGUCUGGGCAGUGAAUGGAGUGGACUUCAUAAGCUUCAACGCUGAGUCGCAGAGAUGGACAUCUCAUUCUCCCAUGGCAGGAACAGUUAAACAUCGCUGGAACAACAAUAAUGCAAGGAAUUCUGCCUUUAGGAACUUCAUCAGAGAACAAUGUCCACUAUUGAUCCAUGGAAUUAAAUUAAGAUCAACACAGCAAAGUACAGUGCUGCGUAUCUUUGCCAAGCCCAUAGUUAACACGGACCAGGCACUGCUGAGGUGUCACGUGACCAGCACUGACAAAUCAGUGAGCUCAGUGCAUCUGAUUGAACCUGAGAACUCCAAGGCCAGCUGGGUCACUGUAACCGGGCCAGUGCCUUCCCAAGACGGAUCCAUGGUCCUCCGACUGACAGCUGAGAUCCCCCUGAGCUCAGACUCCAGCAUGUACGGCUGUAGAGUACAAACAGGAGGCCAUAACAUCACUGUCUUUUGGGAUGGAAAUACUCUCGAUGGCAGACACCUGCUUAACGUGUUAAGUGUCCAUUGGAAAAUUUUGACAGCAAUCCUUGGGUUGUGCAGCAUUUUGUUUGUAAUAACUGUUUUGUCCUGCGGAAUAACGUUGCUGCUCAAAUGUGUUAAGAAGAAGUCUCGUCGUCGACCAAGAAUUGACCCACAGCUGAUUGAGCAGUUUGUCGUGUUUCAGAGGAGUGUUACUUCUGCAGACCUGUCGGGCAUCAUUGUUGCAUUCAUACAAGGCACAGAGAGAAGCACAGAAUGGGGCCAGUGGGCACAGAGGACUGCAGACAAUGAACUUUAUGAUCCAGAAUACUUUGCUCAUCAGAUUGACAGAGCACUGCAAUAGUUAUGUUUGCAACUAAGGAAAUUUGAAAAUGAAGAAACAAACAAACAAAAAAAUCCAAUAAUUUAGUCAUUCCCUCAGAAGCGUAAAAGCAGCUCCAGAUGUCAGUAAAAUUGCUAAAAAAGAAAAAAGUUAAUUUGCAAAAACGUGAUUCUUAAAAUGAAUAAACACUACUUUGAUUAAUAUUUCCCUGAGACCAGGCAAAAAAUGGAGAAACAACCCAACACCUUAUAAUAUUUAUUUUUGAUAUUUUAUUUUAGUCAACCAAAAAAAGUCUUCAGUAUUCAAAUACACUGUACCUCAUAGUGAAACUUCACCUUCAGGCCGUUAUCCUGUAUGGAGUUGUAAAAAGUCUUGCUUUAAAUUUAAAGGUUUACAUUUGAGCCAUACAACCCAAAGCCCAAACCUUGUCACCACUUUUACACUAUACAUUAUGCACUUUACUUUACUUUAUGAUGACACAAACUACUACUGUGAAACUACUGUUUGAGUACAAUUGCAGAUAAACAGCUUCAACAGCCAAUCACAAUUUUACUUCUAGACAGCAGUGGUACUAAAGCUGUGAUGUAUUAUAACAGCUGGUUGAACAUCUGCCUGCAUAAAAGCAACUGUUGUUAAUCACAGUUUCAUCUAUUUAGGACCCAACUUCAUUAUAUCCAAAAUCUCUUUCCCCAGGCAGUGAAGUACAGUGAGUCGUCUCAUUACACUUUCCAGUUAGAGCCGGUUUAGACCAAACUCUGUGAUACUGUAUGUAAAUAAUGUAAAUACAUUGUAAAUAGCAUGAUAAUAUACACCCAUACUGUGUAACACAACUAGAAAUACAUGAGCUAACACCUUCGCUAAGCUACUUUCCGUUUCCAUUUAUCUCAGCCUUAUUUAACGCUGGACCAGCGUGGAGUCUCGCUAAACUGAUUAAUAAAGCAUUUAAUACAGUGAUGAGCUGAUGCUGUUGAAGUUACGUUUACAUUAGUAUGGUCUGUAAAUACUAAAAAAGAUUUUUUUUUUUAAUUGUUAUAAUACAAGACACAGUGAGAAACCAACAAGUCAGAGUCUUUGCUUACAGACGUUAAUGUCCUCAAAUGUUAAAAAUUAAAAGAUUACAGGUUAAGGCUUUAACUGUUUGCAUUUUCUCACAGUUUCUUUUGUGCUGUUGUGUCAUUUCGUGAUUAACGUGCUUUAACAAUAAACUCGAUUCUAAAUGAAAG